CAGUAGCCACGGUAAUACGUAGGGUGCGAGCGUUAAUCGGAAUUACUGGGCGUAAAGCGUGCGCAGGCGGUUUGUUAAGACAGAUGUGAAAUCCCCGGGCUUAACCUGGGAACUGCAUUUGUGACUGGCCGGCUAGAGUAUGGCAGAGGGAGGUGGAAUUCCACGUGUAGCAGUGAAAUGCGUAGAUAUGUGGAGGAACACCGAUGGCGAAGGCAGCCUCCUGGGCCAAUACUGACGCUCAUGCACGAAAGCGUGGGGAGCAAACAGGAUUAGAUACCCGGGUAGUCCCUGUCUCUUAUAC
rnacentral:rRNA from 1 species